rnacentral:rRNA from 1 species
UACGUAGGGUGCAAGCGUUAAUCGGAAUUACUGGGCGUAAAGCGUGCGCAGGCGGCUUUGCAAGACAGAUGUGAAAUCCCCGGGCUUAACCUGGGAACUGCAUUUGUGACUGCAUGGCUGGAGUGCGGCAGAGGGGGAUGGAAUUCCGCGUGUAGCAGUGAAAUGCGUAGAUAUGCGGAGGAACACCGAUGGCGAAGGCAAUCCCCGGGGCCUGCACUGACGCUCAUGCACGCAAGCGUGGGGAGCAAACAGG